GCUAUGAACAUAACAAGCCCUGCUUCCUGUCUGGGGGAGUCACACAGGAACCCAGGGACUAUGUAUAUGAGCUGCCAGACACUCCAAGACACUGAACGCUCAGCCUGAGGCACAACAAAACACACUUGUGCAGGGGAAUCCGUGCCACAUGCCGCUCUCCAGCCUGCUCUGGCUCUUCCUGGCCUCCGUCUUCUCUGGAUCCAGUGUGGCCCAGAAAGUUACUCAAGACCAGCCAACUGUAUCCAGUCAAGUGGGAGAGGAAGUCACUUUAAACUGUCGGUAUGAAACACCUUGGAACACUAACUACCUUUUUUGGUAUAAACAGCCUCCCAGUGGAGAGAUGACUUUCCUUAUUCGUCAGGACACUUCUAAAACAAAUGCAAAGGAUGGUCGCUACUCUGUAAACUCCCAUAGUGGAGAGAAAUCCCUCAGCCUCACCAUUUCAGCCUUACAGCUGAAAGAUUCUGCUACGUACUUCUGUGCUCUCCAAGAUCUCACGGUGCUUGAAGUAAUAGGAAAAGCUGAACAAAAACCCCAGAGCUCAAUAAGAGAGAGCCCCCUGCUACAGGACCCAAGCUGAAAUGCACACCUGCAGAUCCCAGACAAGAAGGGGGCGUCCUGUGGUUGCUUCAUCUGUGGUCUGGAUGAGAGGAUUUCUUUCUAAAUAAAAGCUCCUUCUAUGUCAUUUGG